CCUACGGGAGGCAGCAGUGGGGAAUAUUGCGCAAUGGGCGAAAGCCUGACGCAGCGACGCCGCGUGAGGGAUGAAGGUCUUCGGAUCGUAAACCUCUGUCAGCAGGGAAGAACGGUCACUGUGCUAAUCAGCAGUGAAUUGACGGUACCUGCAAAGGAAGCACCGGCUAACUCCGUGCCAGCAGCCGCGGUAAUACGGGGGGUGGGAGCGUUAAUCGGAAUUACUGGGCGUAAAGCGCUCGUAGGCGGUAUGUCAAGUCAAGGGGGAAAUCCCCGCGGUCAACGUGGGAACUGCCUUUGAAACUGGCAAACUGGAGUGUGUGAGAGGAUAGUGGAAUUCCAGGUGUAGGAGUGAAAUCCGUAGAUAUCUGGAGGAACAUCAGUGGCGAAGGCGACUAUCUGGCACAUAACUGACGCUGAGGAGCGAAAGCGUGGGUAGCAAACAGGAUUAGAUACCCGAGUAGUC
rnacentral:rRNA from 1 species